CCUGCAUAAACAAUUUUUGUAGUAUAAGAGCAAAAUAAAUUCGUAUAUAUAAUAGCACACUAAACCAGGUAUACAAAAAUAUUCUACAAUGACAUGUGGGCCCUAAUAUAACCGAAAAUAUACAAGACUAUAGACCUUCGAUUUCUAAGGAUGUAAAUCCAAAAGCAACCCUCGACAAAAUCGACUGUCUACAGACUGUCCUGAGCCUGAAAUGGGUAAAAAGAAGGGAUGAGUUUUUAUAAACCCAGUGAGUAAGCAAAGUUCAUCUACAACAUCUAAAGCCGAGUAAAUGGAGACAGUUAAAUCAUCCCAUCAUAAUAUGAUUCAUAACAUUUAAAACUCAUUUCAAUUCAUAUAAACCAAUUACAUUUCAUCAAAAUAAUCAACAAAGCUUAUGAUUCUUUUAAAAACUUGGCUUAUGCCAAAACUCAUACUCGGGGACACCUUGGCUCGGGCAUCCAACCGAGUCCGCCAAGGCUGUUAAAAUAACAUAUACACAUAAACAUGUUUUUACGUUUAAAAACGUAGCCGUUCCUUGGCGUUGGCUGAGUUUCACCCUCACGUGGUGGUUCGGUGUGAAGUGAACUCUAAACUUACCUUAGGAGAUACCCUCCGCACCUCUCAAACUAAGGUAAAAUAUAACGGGGUUUACCGUGCCCCUCUAAUAGGCUCGUCCACGAAAACCCAUCCACUGCAGUAAGCUAAUCAAAUAACCCACCAAAUCAAUAAAAAUUUCGACAGCAUGACAUGGCUAAUAUAAUAUUACCCAGCCUGUCAAGAUAAAACAAAACAGUUUAUAUAAUCCACAAACCACAAAUCCAGCUACUCAUGCCAUCACAUUGUCAUAAGCCAUCAAUUCAAACCAUAUAUAUAUAUAUAUAUAUAACACAAGUAUAUAGUCUCCACUUACUCAAUUUCCAAAAUCAUCAUUGAAUUGCAAAACAAUUUAUAAAUCUCAUUCAUUUAACCAUCACUUAACUUAUAAAACAUAAAAAUCUACAGUUUAAGUUCAUUAUUCUUUAAAAUCAUAGAAACGAAUAUAAACUACUUUAAAUAGUUAAGGUGAACAUUUGAUUACUCACAAUAUUACUCACAAUAGCGGGAGUUUGGAGUACUCCUAUUCUUGGUCUUCGGGUACGAUAUUUUUACCCUUAUCAAAGGGCUCACCACCUAUACAUAAUACACGACACGUAAUUCAAUAUAUUUGUGCCAAACUGUUAUAAAACUAUUUCAGGCUUUAUAUGAGAAUUGAAUGAGAAUUGUUCGAAUAAUCAAUUAAAGACGGUGUUCUAUGUGGGUUCAAUUAUGAUCGUACUAAAUUUGUAUUCGACCUAACUCGAACUAUACACUGUUGAAUUAACCAAAACAUCCUAUUCAACUUCAAAUAUAUUCAUUACACUUCCAAUAUUCCAAAUACACCAAAGUACCUCAAUGAGCUUGAUUGUGACUUAAUUCAUCGUAACCGAAAUUCAUUCCGAUUUCGAACUAACGUGCUAAUCAAUGUUAACACAGUCCAAUAAAUCCAUCUACAUCAUUAGGAAUCAAAUCCAAAUCCAUUUACUAUGAUUUUCUCAUUAUUGUUCAAGUCGUUUACUAAAGGAACUAUACUUUUCGAUAGCCGUUUUCGAUAUCCGAUACCAUAAAUCAUCAAUUACGAGCUAAAUAACAAGAAAUACAACAAAAUCCAUCAUCAACAUGUCAUCUAUAAAAUUCGGCCAAAGAGGGUUGUUGAAGGGCAUGUGAUUUUCUUGCUUGUUUUUCAUGCCAAACAUCAUCAAACAACUAAAAACACUAAGAUAUCAUGAAAUCUAGCAAAAUCCAUCAUCAAAACCUCUCUCCCUAUGUUCGGCCAGCAAGUAUUCCCUCAUGGAAACUUGUGUUUCAACCAUAGAAAAUGAAAAAGAAAGCAUGGGAAAGGUAGAUCUUAAGCUAAAAUUGAAAAAUCUUACCUUUGAUUGCUUUGUUCUUUGAAAUUCAAUAAAUUUCUCUUGAAUUUUCCUCUCUAGGGUUUGUUUCUAUUCUUUUCUCUUUGUUCUUUGCUUUGGCCGGC
rnacentral:lncRNA from 1 species